rnacentral:sRNA from 1 species
ACCUCCCUGUCGCUACAGUGCGUCUUCGAGCUCCAGCCGCCAGCCGAGCCGAGUCGGCUGCCAUGCCGAGCCGCCUUGCCGCGCCGAAUCCGCCCCAAUCUCUCCCCUUUUCUUCCGUUUUUUUGAGGGGUUUUUAUCCUCUCAUCUUCCUCUAUCCUUACCCCCAAAAAUCGGAGCAAAUCGUUGAGUAUUUUAUCCGAAUCGAACUCGUUUUGAAUUUAUCUCCAAAACCGAGUUUUUGAUUUCCCGGAGCGAUUUCUUGCGGGAGGAGUCCGAUCUAUUCAAUCCAAGGCUAUAAAUAGGACCCCCUAGUCCUCCUCUUUCGUCUGCCCCCUCUCCCGUGAUCUCCCGUGCCUCGUAGCGCCGCCGCCACGUGCUCCACCCUGCCAUCGUCGCCGGCCGAGCUCCAUCCGCGUCGCGCCGCCGCCUCCGUCGUCGCUGCCGGUCGCCGUCACCACCGUUAGGUGCGCGGGAGGGUGGAGAAGCCCGGCCGCCUGACCGAAGCCGCCGACCACCGCAGAUCCGGCGCCACCGCCGACCGAAGCCGCCGCCGCCGUCCACCUCGCCGCCGGCCGUCGUCCGUCGUCGUUUGUCGUAUCGCUUGUCGUUUCCGUCGUUGCGAAGGUUCGUGAGUGCGUCGGGAGUGUUCAGAAGAUUAAUUGAAGACCGAUUAUUGCAAGUUGAAGAAAAAGGAUCCAGAAGGAGAAGACGUUUGGCUUAUACCCCAGUUGAGUUGCUUGUGGGAGUGGAGCUGAAGCCAUCGCUAGACCGUUAAUUCCGCUGCUGUUUUUCUUUUCUUUUGUAAGUAUGUAACGUUAUUAUUAUGAUGGAUUUGUAUAUUAAAUUGUCAGUUUGUGUACCUCGGCUGAUUUCUAGACGAGGAUUUUAUGCACAAAUUAGUUCGGAAAUUAUUAGUGAAUUUCCGGGCGUUCCUGAGAAUAAUAGUCUUGAACCUGCAAAAGGCUAACUAAUUCCUGAUUGUCUGAAAGAAGAGUAACAUCAAUAAUAUUUAAAAUUUG